rfam:Schistosoma mattheei strain Denwood, Zambia genome assembly, scaffold: SMTD_scaffold0015388
AUCCAGCUGACGAUUCCCAAAUAGGACGAAACGCGCGUCCUGGAU